rnacentral:rRNA from 1 species
UACGAAGGGGGGCUAGCGUUGUUCGGAAUUACUGGGCGUAAAGCGCACGUAGGCGGUUUUCCAAGUUGGAGGUGAAAUCCCUGGGCUUAACCCCAGGAACUGCCCCCCAAGACUGGAAGACUCGAGUCCGAGAGAGGUGAGUGGAAUUUCCAGUGUAGAGGUGAAAUUCGUAGAUAUUGGAAAGAACACCAGUGGCGAAGGCGGCUCACUGGCUCGGUACUGACGCUGAGGUGCGACAGCGUGGG